GACUUUGAAAAAUGCUACCAUGCUAGUAAAUGUCUCAUUUAUGUUUCAUACAGGGUUUUUUGAAGUACAGACUGAUUUACUACUGAUCACUUCUGAACUAAGGGAUUAAAGAUAGGGAAAAUAAAAGGACUCUCAAAAGCUUAGAAAAUCACAAAAUGUUUUUUCUCAAUAUCAGAGGGAAAGCUACAUUUUCUGUGUACAAGAGGCCUAAAAGCAAGUAAAGAAAUAAAGUCUUGCCUGGACUCUGAAAAAACUAGUUAUGAGAUAUCCAUUCACCAUAAAUGGCGAUCUUCCUGAUCCAGAGAUAGAACCCAGGUCUCCCACAUUGCAGACAGAUUCUUUACCAUCUGAGCCCCUGAAGGAAGGCACAAAGUUAAUACUACAGAUUAAAAGAAGUAAGAAUGAUAAUUUAGCAGUUAAAACUGACUAGACGUCUACCCACAACACUUCUCUAAGCAAUCCUGAUCACAGUAAGCAAGAUAAGAUCUGAAAGAGUCUCCCAGCCUGCACUCUUGGAGAUGGACCCUCCUGCCUGGAUAAUUCACUAAGAUUUUUCCCCCUUGUUUCCCUUAAAAACCGUCCUGGCUGGGCAGAAUCUUUGGAAUUGGUCUCUGGACAUGAGUCCACCCUCUCCCCAGAUGGCCCACUUUUACAAUUAAAGCUACUUUCUUUUCUCUUGA